rnacentral:rRNA from 1 species
AUUGAACGCUGGCGGCAGGCCUAACACAUGCAAGUCGAGCGGAUGAAGGGAGCUUGCUCCUGGAUUCAGCGGCGGACGGGUGAGUAAUGCCUAGGAAUCUGCCUGGUAGUGGGGGAUAACGUCCGGAGACGGGCGCUAAUACCGCAUACGUCCUGAGGGAGAAAGUGGGGGAUCUUCGGACCUCACGCUAUCAGAUGAGCCUAGGUCGGAUUAGCUAGUUGGUGGGGUAAAGGCCUACCAAGGCGACGAUCCGUAACUGGUCUGAGAGGAUGAUCAGUCACACUGGAACUGAGACACGGUCCAGACUCCUACGGGAGGCAGCAGUAGGGAAUAUUGGACAAUGGGCGAAAGCCUGAUCCAGCCAUGCCGCGUGUGUGAAGAAGGUCUUCGGAUUGUAAAGCACUUUAAGUUGGGAGGAAGGGCAGUAAGUUAAUACCUUGCUGUUUUGACGUUACCAACAGAAUAAGCACCGGCUAACUUCGUG